rnacentral:rRNA from 1 species
UACGGAGGGGGCGAGCGUUGUCCGAAGUUACUGGGCGUAAAGCGCGCGUAGGCGGGGCGGAAAGUCCGCUGUGAAAGCCCGAGGCUUAACCUCGGCGGGUCGGUGGAUACUUCCGUUCUUGAAGGUGCUAGGGGGGAGAUGGAAUUACCGGUGUAGCGGUGAAAUGCGUAGAUAUCGGUAGGAACACCAGUGGCGAAGGCGGUCUCCUGGGGCAUUCUUGACGCUGAGGCGCGAAAGCUGGGGGAGCGAACGGG